rnacentral:rRNA from 1 species
UACGGGGGGGGCAAGCGUUGUUCGGAAUUACUGGGCGUAAAGGGCGCGUAGGCGGCCGCUCAAGUCGGGGGUGAAAGCCUGUGGCUUAACCACAGAAUUGCCUUCGAUACUGUUUGGCUUGAGACCGGAAGAGGUGAGUGGAACUGCGAGUGUAGAGGUGAAAUUCGUAGAUAUUCGCAAGAACACCAGUGGCGAAGGCGGCUCACUGGUCCGGUUCUGACGCUGAGGCGCGAAAGCGUGGGGAGCAAACAGG